GAUGAACGCUGGCGGCGUGCUUAACACAUGCGAGUCGAACGAAGCAUUUGCGACAGAUUUUUUCGGAAUGAAGUUGCUUAUGACUGAGUGGCGGACGGGUGAGUAACGCGUGGGUAACCUGCCUUGUACUGGGGGAUAGCAGCUGGAAACGGCUGGUAAUACCGCAUAAGCGCACAAUGUUGCAUGACAUGGUGUGAAAAACUCCGGUGGUAUAAGAUGGACCCGCGUCUGAUUAGCUAGUUGGUGAGAUAACAGCCCACCAAGGCGACGAUCAGUAGCCGACCUGAGAGGGUGACCGGCCACAUUGGGACUGAGACACGGCCCAGACUCCUACGGGAGGCAGCAGUGGGGAAUAUUGCACAAUGGAGGAAACUCUGAUGCAGCGACGCCGCGUGAGUGAAGAAGUAAUUCGUUAUGUAAAGCUCUAUCAGCAGGGAAGAUAGUGACGGUACCUGACUAAGAAGCGCCGGCUAAAUACGUG
rnacentral:rRNA from 1 species